AGCGAACGCUGGCGGCAGGCCUAACACAUGCAAGUCGAACGAACUCUUCGGAGUUAGUGGCGGACGGGUGAGUAACACGUGGGAACGUGCCUUUAGGUUCGGAAUAACUCAGGGAAACUUGUGCUAAUACCGAAUGUGCCCUUCGGGGGAAAGAUUUAUCGCCUUUAGAGUGGCCCGCGUCUGAUUAGCUAGUUGGUGAGGUAAAGGCUCACCAAGGCGACGAUCAGUAGCUGGUCUGAGAGGAUGAUCAGCCACAUUGGGACUGAGACACGGCCCAAACUCCUACGGGAGGCAGCAGUGGGGAAUCUUGCGCAAUGGGCGAAAGCCUGACGCAGCCAUGCCGCGUGAAUGAUGAAGGUCUUAGGAUUGUAAAAUUCUUUCACCGGGGACGAUAAUGACGGUACCCGGAGAAGAAGCCCCGGCUAACUUCGUG
rnacentral:rRNA from 1 species